UNCUCACAGGAUUCAGUGUUCUUAACAGGU
rnacentral:piRNA from 1 species